rnacentral:rRNA from 1 species
CCUACGGGAGGCAGCAGUGGGGAAUAUUGCACAAUGGGGGAAACCCUGAUGCAGCAACGCCGCGUGAGUGAAGAAGUCAUUCGUGAUGUAAAGCUCUAUCAGCAGGGAAGAAAAUGACGGUACCUGACUAAGAAGCCCCGGCUAACUACGUGCCAGCAGCCGCGGUAAUACGUAGGGGGCGAGCGUUAUCCGGAUUCACUGGGUGUAAAGGGAGCGUAGACGGCCAUGCAAGCCAGGGGUGAAAGCCCGGGGCCCAACCCCGGGACUGCCCUUGGAACUGCAUGGCUGGAGUGCGGGAGGGGCAGGCGGAAUGCCUGGUGUAGCGGUGAAAUGCGUAGAUAUCAGGAGGAACACCGGCGGCGAAGGCGGCCUGCUGGACUGCGACUGACGUUGAGGCUCGAAAGCGUGGGGAGCGAACAGGAUUAGAUACCCUGGUAGUC